rnacentral:rRNA from 1 species
UACGUAGGGGGCUAGCGUUGUCCGGAAUCAUUGGGCGUAAAGAGCGCGUAGGCGGCCCGACAAGUCCGCUGUGAAAGUCAGGGGCUCAACCCUUGAAUGCCGGUGGAUACUGUCGGGCUAGAGUCCGGAAGAGGCGAGUGGAAUUCCUGGUGUAGCGGUGAAAUGCGCAGAUAUCAGGAGGAACACCAGUGGCGAAGGCGGUUCUCUGGGCAUUACCUGACGCUGAGGAGCGAAAGUGUGGGGAGCGAACAGG